CAAAUAUGCCCAGGCCCAAACCAAUAAACAGGCCCAAUUAACAGCCCAAAACCCAAAUUAACCUAGCCCAAACAUUAAAAUUUCAGAAACCCUAACAGCAUUUGCCCGCAACCGCCGCACAUCCUAACAACAGCCCCGCACAUGUCGCGCACGUUCGCCUCCACGUUGACUGGCCGUACCUGCAGCAACAAGCAAAAGCAAACAACAACAAAAUAAUAGGAAUAACAGAAUAUAUUUGGUUUGAUUUUUUUUUCUUUCUUCUUUCUCAUUUUCGGCUAUAAAAGCCCAAUUCCAGGCAUUUUAAAAGAGGGGGGCAAAUUCAGUGUAAAAGACAUACGAAAAUAGAGAGAAAAGAUUGAAAUACAAGGAAAAUUGAAGGUUAAUCGCGUUUAUUCUAUUUUCAUUUUUACUUAUUUUUUUCUUUUCUUUUUAUUUGUUUUGUGAAAUAAUAGUAUAAAAGGGGAAAAGAGAGACUUACCCAGUGGUCGCGUUCUAUUCUCCGUCUCGACCGGAGGCCAGGACGGUGAUUGAAGCCGUGGGAGGUUCAUGAACGGCGGCUCCAAAGGGUUAGAGAAACCCUAAGAGAAGCAGCACUGCUUUAGAGGAAAAACAAAAUUUUUUCCCUAAUUUUUUUUCUUUUUUUAAAACUUAAAAUAGAACAAAGAUGGCGCCGUUUAGUUUGGGGGUCCGCGCAUAUCAACCUUAAAUGGGAGAAUUGCGCAAUAAGUCUUCCCCCUUUGCGCCAUGUUUUAUUAAGCCAGUUAUUUCUUUUUAAUUUGGCCCAAAUGUUUUACCUUGUUUCAAAUCGGUCCCCAUUGCGGCGCAGCGGUUUAGGGAGCUGGAUUAUUUCGAUUUGGGCCCCCUCAUAUAAUGCGUGUGUUGCAAAUUGGUCCCUGUUCUAUUUUAAUUUCAUUUUUUGGUUAUUUUGUUUUUUCUCAAUUCGUUUUUUUUUAAAUUGUUACUUUUAAAAUUAUUGCUAUAUUAUCUAUUAUCAUUUAUUACUAUUUCUAUAUUUAUACACGCAUUUUUUAUAUAGUAUAUAUAUAUAUACAUAUUUCUUUAUAUAAUAUAUAUAACUUUUAUGAAUGCAUGCAUUUUACAUACGUUUUAUUUUUUAUCUUUUGUAACCUUUAUAUACUUUAUAUAUAUUAUAUAUAUAUACUUAUACAUUUCUUUUAUUUUGUAAAUAUAUACACAUGUACAUACUUUUAUUUUUAUUUAUUUUAUUUUCAUAAUUCUUACAUGUACAUAUAUAUAUAUAUAUUUCUAUAAUAUGUACGUACAUGUUUUUUUUAGAAAUUAUUACAAGUCUUUUGCUUUACAUGUUUCAUUCCUGUUUAUAUGUAUACUAAUAUAUGUGGGUUUAAUAUAUGUGUACACAUAUUUGCAAAUUUACUUGUAAAUUGUAUGUACUUGUAUAUAUAUAUUUUGUAAAUAUUUAUUCAUAUAUGUUUUUAGAGUUUUUGUUUCAUAUUAUGCAUUAACUUUUAACAUGCCUUUUGGGAAAUAUAUUUUGGUUUUAUCAGUAUAUCAAAACCAUUUUCUCUUGAUUCGAAGUUUUUUUUGAAUAAAAGCAAUAUUCAAAGUUUGAGAUUUUCAAGGAAAUUGAGCCCUAACGUAUUGGGUUCCGAUUUUCUUUGUUAAUCUAAAAUAACCGAGAAUAUUCUUUAUUCAAAAUGUAUGAGAAUAAAAAUCAUUUUCGGGAACUUAACUUGUUGUGUCCUAAUGUAUUGGGUGUGACAUGUUACUUUCUCAAAAUGAAGAUUUUCGCAUAAAAUAAAAGUGGUAUUCAAAGUUUGGGGAUGUUGAGAAAUUGUACCCUAAUGUAUUGGGACUCGAUUUCUUUACAUGACUUGAACAAUUGAUUAUCCUUUUCAGAUUUCAUCAUUUGAGUUGUUUUUAAAAAACCUUUUUUAGCCCUCGACACUAAGACAUUAAAUAAUUAAUUUGGUACCAAUUUUGGGUGUUACGAGGGUGCUAACCCUUCCUCGUGCGUAACUGACUCCCGAACCUGUUUUCUCAAAUUUCAUAGACCAAGACACGUUUUAAGGUAAGUUGAUCACGCCUCAAUAAAGGAUCGGUGGCGACUCCAGUUUUAUCUUUAAAGUCGACAACUAAAUUUUUGUUUUCAAAAUGAUGGUUUUGACAGCUUGGCGACUCCGCUGGGGACACUAGAGAGUCGAGCCGUGAAUUGGUUAUGUUUUGUCUUUUUGUCGAAAAUCAAAAGUUUUUUAAAAAUCAUGAUUUCCCUGUGCAUUCAUUUUCAUCAUGAUAUGUUUGCAUGAUUGGACCAAGUUGGUUGAUCUGUAUUUGCUUUUUGCAUAGCAUGGUCAGUUUUACCCCUUUAAGUGGGAGCGAGAAACUAGUCCUUCGUGAGGUUUUCACCUCCGUGCAGGGUAGUGGACCGCUUCCGGGAUACAUUCGUACAUAUGCCUUCGUGAGAUUUUCAUCUCCGUGCAGCCAUAGGGAAAUGUAUUCCCCUGAACUGAACUCGAUCCAUGUGAGCCUAUAAUGGGUAAGGAUCGAGGAAUCUGCUAGUUCGGGUACCUUUGCUCUAGAAGUCAAACCUCAUAUAGUGAACCUUAGGAACUCACCCUAGGUAGAACUACAUUGAACCCUAGUAGAUACCCGAAUAGGUGUUUUAUUAUUUCCAAUUAUAUUGGAUUCUAUUUUUAUACCUAAUACUAACUUGUUAUGUUUUGUUUUGGCUGCAUGACAUUUUGACCGUAUUGCAUUUCAUCAUAGAAAAGAGGUGUUGAUUCACGUUCGGUUGCUAAAUAGAGAGCUUGUCAUGGAAAAUGGAUUUCUUGAUAAAGUGGAAAAUAAUACGGUUCUCCGAAUAUAGUCCAAGAAAGCGUGAUACGAGAAGUGUAACAAGAGGAGUAUACGACUUUGCUGCGUUGAUUCAAGAUUAGCACAUAUUAUUCAAGAGUCGUCAAACAUCCCAACCUUUUUAAAGAAACUAAUGAACGUGAGUGAGCAAGGAGUUACGACCUAGAUCAAACAAAAAGGAGCUCAAAUUCGCGAGAUGCAUCUUAAUAUCUGAAUGGUCGAUGUCUUUGCUUGGAGUACGAGGGCGAAGCCAUAUAUAUAUCUGCUUUGUGUAAAGAGAUUUAUUUUCUAGAGAAGUUUUUCUAGUAAAGAAUUGGACCAGAAUUAACGUCUCUUUUGCAUUCAUUUCACGCUUUUGCAUUACAUUACAUCAUAUGCAUUAAACACAUUAUAGACCUUUAUUCAAUCCUAAUAAGUCAAAAUCACUGCUCAGUUAACCUGGAAACCAACCAACCAACUCGAGCAAAGAUUAAAGACAUGGAUCAGAGAUUGGAAAAGCUCGAAUAGCACCAGAAAGAAAUGCAAGACCAACUCCAGUUACAAGUGCAGGAGCGGUUAGACAAGAUGCAACGGGAUAUGUCAGAGAAGAUGCAGGAAUCCCAAAACAAUAUGAUGACAAAGUUGACCCAACUGUUGACUGGAGGGGGUGAUAAAGGAAAGGGUCCCAUGGCUGAUAUCGAAGAGGGUAACGAGGAUGAAUCACUAUAUCCUCCAGGCUUUACUCCUCCAUAUGUGCGAACUCAAGCUGAAUAUCCGCACAAAUCUACUGUCAUAAUCAGGCCUCAGCAGUUCCAGGCCGGUGCUUCAAACUUCCAGGCUGGAUCGGGCUCUAACCCUGGAAACCACCAUGCUAAUUUCGCCAUUCUUGAAUUUGAUGAAGUGGUUGAAAAAGAAAGAAUAAAGGAAGAGUUACCAAAGCAGUUAGAAGAAAGGUGCAAAUGGCUCGAGGAGAAAUUCAAGGCGAUGGAAGUCACUGAAAGCUAUCGUGAGAUUGAUGCUAAAGAGCUAAGUUUAGUUCCGAAUUUGGUACUCCCUCAUAAGUUCAAGAUGCCAGAAUUCGAAAAGUACAAUGAAACAAGUUGCCCAGAAGCACAUAUCACCAUGUUCUGCAGGAGAAUGGCUGGAUAUGUUAACAAUGACCAGCUAUUGAUUCAUUGUUUCCAGGAUAGCCUCACAGGGGCAGCAUCUAAAUGGUAUAAUCAACUGAGUCGUAUCGUGAUUGGUUCAUGGAGGGAUUUAGCACAAGAAGCCCCAUUCAUUACGCAUAUGUUAAGAAGUGCUACAAAGAGCUUUUCUGACAUAGUUAUGAAUAGUGAAAUGAUCGAAAAUGCUAUAAGGAACAGGAAAAUUGAUGUAGAGGAGAGUAACAAGAGGUCAGUCUCAAGGAGAAGAGAAAAUGAGGUGAAAAACACGGGUUACUCUAAAUCAGUUACUGUGAGUCAGCCAAGAAAGGUGGCUGCUAACCAACAAGGUUCAUCAAGGUAGGAAGCUGGUACAAGACAAAACACUGAGAGGCCGCAAUUCACGCCAAUUUCGGUGUCAUAUAGGGAGCUAUAUCAAAGUUUUUUUGAUGCACAUGUUGUUUCCCCUUUUUAUGUGAAGCCUCUACAACCUCCGUACCCCGAAUGGUAUGAUACGAACGCACAAUGUGCUACCAUAUGGGAAUUACAGGACACUUGAUUGAGAAUUGCACUACCUUCAAGAAACUAGUUGAAAGACUUAUCGACAUGGGUGUUGUCAAGUUUGGUGACUCAUCAAGUCCAGAAAAUCCGUUACCCAAUCAUGAUUGAUGAUGGAGGGAAUGCAAUAUAAGUGGUGAGAAAUUUGCACAUCGAUGUCAUAUAUGCAGACAUAAUUAAAAGGGUCCUUGUUAGAUAUUUGCCUGAGAGGUGUUAUAAAUAAUGGACUGCAGAGGAAACCCCUAUAUUACUUAGAGUCUGAUAAAGUAAUGUUCAGAACACACUUGUUGCUUUUAGCCUAAAAGCAAUAAGAACUUCUUUGUGAAAUAGGCUCAUGUCUGAACAUUAUUAUUUUAAUGAAAUACAUCAUUGCAAUCAUCUUCGAGCAAAUGUUCUUUCAUUCUUUACGAUUCUUUCAUUCUUUUGGAUUUUUUCUGCCAAAUCAUUCUUUCAUUCAUAAUCAUAUUAUCUAUAAAUUCAUAAAUUCUUUGUAUAUUCCUUAGCACCUACAAUAGGUCCCUGGAUAUCAAUGACAUGAGUGACGCUGCUACAGACUCAUAAUCUCCUCUUGAGUGAAACAUGUGUUUAGAGGGAUCUCAUGACUUUGAAGAUGACAUAGAUUGUAGCUUAUCUCCUAACUUGUUGAGGAUGGUAGAGCAAUAAGAAAACAAAUUUACCUCAUGAGGAGACAAUGGAGACUGUGACCUUGAAGAAACAUGUAUGACCGAAGAAACAAAGUAAGACGCUAUUGAGUUACUUCAAGAAUUCAAAAAUGUCUUCGUAUGGUCAUACUAGGAUAUGCCCGGGUUAAGCACUGUCGUUGCAAUCUGAACAACAGCACGAUAUCAGAAAUUUACAGUAUGCUUAAGAUUAAUAUCAUGAAUGAUGCAAUAAAAACUCUACUGGAGCAGUGCCUCUCUCUUUAGUUCAUCACGAUUUUUUCUAUUGAAGUCAAAGUUCUUUUUCUCCGAGUAUUGGCUGAGCAAGUUGGAUGAGCAAAACGGAUUCAAUCGCGAUGUGAUCAAUUGAACUUGAUAGAAGGAAAAAGGCUAAAAGCUAUUCAUCACGGUCAGAUGUACCAGAAAUGAAUGAUGCGAGCCUAUAACAAAUGUUCAUCCCAGAGAAUUCCACGAGGGUGACCAAAUGUUGAACAUCUUCCCUCUACAAUAAAAUUGUUUUGGAGGGAAGCGGAUGCCAAAUUUGGAAGAACCUUAUGUUACAGAGACGAUUUUUCCAAAGGAGCUUUGAUUUUGAGCGAGAUGGAUGAUAAGUCCUGUAAACUCAGAUUCAGUCAGGAAAUACUCCGCUUAAAGAAGGAGAUGACUAAGGUAGAAAACCCGCAAAGGGGCACUUUGAGUCGUAAAAAUGAUGAAAUGAAAAAAUGAAAAAGUGAAAAUGAGAAAUGGAAAAUGGAAAAAGAAAAGAAAAUGAGAGACCAAGGCGAAAACCCGCAAAGGGCGCUUUAGACCAAAGGGGAUUUGAGUUGAAAACUCGAAAAGAACGGCUCAAAUAUUGAUCAAAAUGGGGCAUGAGGUAAUCAAAGCAGCUCAAAUACCAUUCAGAGUGGGGCAUACAAUGGUCUUGCUAUACCUGAAUCAACAGGAAAGGGCAGGCGACAUCUUGGGGCAUCGACAAAGUACUAUAGAUCUCCUAAACACAUGUUAAACUCAGAAUGGUCUUCAGAAAGUCUGUACAGAGAAGUUCAAGUUGCGAUAUCUAGGGCACCUAAUCCUUAUACCAUUUUUGUUAUUCUUGGAACACUUCAUUCAUUGACAAGAUACGCAUUCCUAAAUCAAUUUCUUGUUAUCCAUCUUUAUUAUCUUUGAUAAUCUAUUCAUUUCAGAGCCAUGCUCUAAAUCAAUUCUAUUCUUACCCAUUGUUAUGAUCUCUUGCAAGCAUGUUGCAUUUGAAUAAUGAUGAAUGGACUAAUAAAACUUUCACAAAGGAAGUUUUGCAUAUUACUCUAGAAGUUUCUAAAUAAUAUAGGAACCUCAAAUAGGACUAUUGUUUAGAACGCACCAGGUUAAAGGUUGGAAAUCUAAUAAGGAAGAGUCUAAAUUAAGACUAUCCCUUUGAAUUUUGUUGUCUAAAUCAUUGAUUGAAAAACGACAAGAUGUCGUGUUGGUGAUAAAGCUUAAAUGAACAAGCAAGUAAUGAUCACCGAAUAAUAAGAAGAAGUUGUUCUUGGAGAAGAAUAUUCUUCAUUUGUGCAUGAGCAUUUGGUAUGACUCCCUAGAAAUGGUGAAAAUGACAAAAGAGCUUCACAUUCUACAUCCUUGAAUUGUGAUAGUGAAAGAUUGAGAAAAGGCCAGAUUUUUUUUUUACUCUUGAGUUACCACGAGAGAAAGAUGAUACAGAUUUUGUGUUCCAAUGGAUUGAAAUUUGAAGUUCACAGUGGAGGGCAAUUUGAUUAAGUGUUUUUCGGAGAUGCUAGCUGAGCAAAAAGGUGUUAUAGCACAUUAGUGAGGAAACCUUAAUAAACUUUGAGUAAUAAUAACUCAAGCAUUAAAAUAUUAUUUUCAUGACAUUUUGCAUUCAUUUAAAUGACAUUCAUACACGUCUAGUUAGAAGCAUUUGAUUCAUUCUAAUCAUGACAUCCUUAAUCUCUAGGCAUAAUCAGGUUCAUCAUACAGGUCAUGUUUCACAGAAAACAUAUCAGUAAAAUCAUAAAGCCUUAUCCCCCUGAGCAACAGUGGAGCUGGCUAAAAAUCAGCAGAUCUUGUCUUCAUGUAUUGGCGUGAAGUAGAUCAAAGAUAGCAGAUCUUGUCUUCCCAUACUGGUGGUGAAGUAGAUCAAAGAUAAUGGAUCUUAUCUUCAUGUAUUGACAUGAAGUAGAUCAGAGAUAGCAGAUCUUGUCUUCAUGUAUUGAUAUGAAGUAGAUCAGAGAUAGCAGAUCUUAUAUUCAUGUAUUGACAUGAAGUAGAUCGAAGAUGAUGGAUUUUGUCUUCAUGUAUUGACAUGGAGUAGAUCAGAGAUAGCAGAUAUUAUCUUCCCAUACUGGUGGUGAAGUAGAUUGAAGGUAAUGGAUCUUGUCUUCAUGUAUUGACAUGGAGUAGAUCAGAGAUAGCAGAUCUUGUCUUCAUGUAUUGACAUGAAGUAGAUCAGAGAUAGCAUAUCUUAUCUUCAUGUAUUAACAUGAAGUAGAUCGAAGAUAAUGGAUCUUGUCUUCAUGUAUUGACAUGAAGUAGAUCAGAGAUAGCAGAUCUUGUCUUCAUGUACUGGCGUGAAGUAGAUCGAAGAAAGCAGAUCUUGUCUUCAUGUACUGGCGUGAAGUAGAUCGAAGAAAGCAAAUCUUGUCUUCCUGUACUGGUAGUGAAGUAGAUCAAAGAUAACAGAUCUUGUCUUCCCAUACUGGUAGCGAAGUAGAUCGAAGAAAGCAGAUAUUGUCUUCAUGUAUUGGCGUGAAGUAGAUCGAAGAUAGCAGAUCUUGUCUUCCCAUACUGGUGGCGAAGUAGAUCGAAAUACCAGUCUUAUCUCCUUGAAGUUGCAGUGGAGCAGACAGAAGAAACCAAUCCUAUCUCCUUGAAGUUGCAAUGGAGUAGAUUAAAACCACAGAUUUCAUCUCUUUGGAGUUGUAGCAGAGCAGAUCGCAUCAGAUUUAUUUUUAAGUUGUAGCAUAACAAGUUGAAGCUAUAAGUCUUAUCUCCCUGAAGUUGCAGUGGAGCAGAUUAAAGAUAGCAAAUUUUGAAGCUACAGCAUACGAAUCCUAUAUCCCUGACAUUCCAGUGGAGUAGAUCGAAACGCUAGUUCCUGUACCUCUGAAGAUACAGUAGGAAGGAAUGAGGCUACUAGAAGAAAGGCACUGAAUAAGUUGAGGCUCAGUAAGACCAGACACAAUUGGGCUUUUGGUUUUUGCUCUAUUCUCGUUACACGACAAUGAGCAAAGAGGGGCAGCUGUACAAGCCCAAAUAUGCCCUGGCCCAAACCAAUAAACAGGCCCAAUUAAUAGCCCAAAACCGAAAUUAACCUAGCCCAAACAUUAAAAUUUCAGAAACCCUAACAGCAUUUGCACGCAGCCACUGCACAUCCUAACAACAGCCCCGCACAUGUCGCACACGUUCGCCUCCAUGUUGACUGGUCGUACCUGCAGCAACAAUCAGAAACAAACAGCAAAUUU
rnacentral:lncRNA from 1 species